CCUACGGGAGGCAGCAGUAGGGAAUAUUGCUCAAUGGGGGAAACCCUGAAGCAGCAACGCCGCGUGGAGGAUGAAGGUUUUCGGAUUGUAAACUCCUUUUGUUAGAGAAGAUAAUGACGGUAUCUAACGAAUAAGCACCGGCUAACUCCGUGCCAGCAGCCGCGGUAAUACGGAGGGUGCAAGCGUUACUCGGAAUCACUGGGCGUAAAGGGCGCGUAGGCGGGAUAGCAAGUCAGAUGUGAAAUCCUAUGGCUUAACCAUAGAAUUGCAUUUGAAACUGUUAUUCUAGAGUAUGGGAGAGGUAGGUGGAAUUCUUGGUGUAGGGGUAAAAUCCGUAGAGAUCAAGAGGAAUACUCAUUGCGAAGGCGACCUGCUAGAACAUAACUGACGCUGAUGCGCGAAAGCGUGGGGAGCAAACAGGAUUAGAUACCCGAGUAGUC
rnacentral:rRNA from 1 species